AUGCUCACUUUGGCAACACAUAUACUGAAAUUGGAAUAAUACAGGGAAGAUUAUCAUGGCCCCUCUCCAAGGAUGACAAGCAAAUUCAUGAGGCCUUCAUGUUUUUU